UGGGGAAUCUUGCGCAAUGCGCGAAAGCGUGACGCAGCAACGCCGCGUGAGGGAAGAAGGCCUUCGGGUUGUAAACCUCUUUCAGGAGGGACGAAGGUUCAGGCGCGAAUAGCGUCCUGGACUGACGGUACCUCCAGAAGAAGCCCCGGCUAACUACGUGCCAGCAGCCGCGGUAAUACGUAGGGGGCUAGCGUUGUCCGGAAUCAUUGGGCGUAAAGAGCGUGUAGGCGGCCCGGUAAGUCCGCUGUAAAAGUCAAAGGCUCAACCUUUGAAUGUCAGUGGAUACUGCCGGGCUAGAGUCCGGAAGAGGCGAGUGGAACUCCUGGUGUAGCGGUGGAAUGCGCAGAUAUCAGGAAGAACACCAACGGCGAAGGCAGCUCGCUGGGACGGUACUGACGCUGAGACGCGAAAGCGUGGGGAGCGAACAG
rnacentral:rRNA from 1 species